rnacentral:ncRNA from 1 species
AAAAAGUUUUAUUUUGGCUUGAAAUAUCAAUAAAUAAUUUUUUUUAUAUGUAAAUUUUAGUGAAAAUAAAAAUAAAUUUUAAAAAUAAAUUUUUUAUAAAUUUUACGCAAUUUAGAAAAUUUUAAAUUUAAGAAAUUAAGAUUAAGAAAUUUAUUAUAAUAUUAACAAAAUUUGUGCCAGCAGUUGCGGUUAAACAGAUAAUAUAAUUGAUAUUUAUUAAUUAAUAAUUAAUUGUUUUAGUUGUAAAUUAGAUUUAAAUUUAUUAAGUGAAAUUUUAAAUUUAAUUAAAUUUAUAAAUAAUAUUUUGAAGUUAUUAAAUUUUUUUUUAAACUAGGAUUAGAUACCCUAUUAUUAUAAAUGUAAAAUUAAAAAAUUAAAUUAGUAAUAGUUAUUUUCUUGAAAAUUAAAAAAUUUGGCGGUAUUUUAAUCUUUUCAGAGGAACCUGUUCUAUAAUUGAUAUUCCACGAUUAAUUGUACUUAAAUUUUAAGUUUAUAUAUCGUCGUAGUUUGAAUAUUUUUUAAAAAUUUAAAUAUUCAAUAUUUAUAAUUAUAAAUUAAAUCAGAUCAAGGUAUAGCUAAUAUUUAAGAAGAAAUGGGUUACAAUAAAAUUAUUUAUAUGGAUUAAUAAUUUAAAAUUAUUGAUGAAAGUGGAUUUGAAAGUAAUAUAAUUAAUUUAAAUUAUAUGAUUAAAGCUCUAAAAUAUGUACAUAUCGCCCGUCGCUUUCAUAUAAAAUGAAAUAAGUCGUAACAAAGUAGAUGUACUGGAAAGUGUAUCUAGAAUUA